rnacentral:rRNA from 1 species
UAUGUUAGCGGCGGACGGGUGAGUAACACGUGGGUAACCUGCCUGUAAGACUGGGAUAACUCCGGGAAACCGGGGCUAAUACCGGAUGCUUGUUUGAACCGCAUGGUUCAAACAUAAAAGGUGGCUUCGGCUACCACUUACAGAUGGACCCGCGGCGCAUUAGCUAGUUGGUGAGGUAACGGCUCACCAAGGCAACGAUGCGUAGCCGACCUGAGAGGGUGAUCGGCCACACUGGGACUGAGACACGGCCCAGACUCCUACGGGAGGCAGCAGUAGGGAAUCUUCCGCAAUGGACGAAAGUCUGACGGAGCAACGCCGCGUGAGUGAUGAAGGUUUUCGGAUCGUAAAGCUCUGUUGUUAGGGAAGAACAAGUGCCGUUCAAAUAGGGCGGCACCUUGACGGUACCUAACCAGAAAGCCACGGCUAACUACGUGCCAGCAGCCGCGGUAAUACGUAGGUGGCAAGCGUUGUCCGGAAUUAUUGGGCGUAAAGGGCUCGCAGGCGGUUUCUUAAGUCUGAUGUGAAAGCCCCCGGCUCAACCGGGGAGGGUCAUUGGAAACUGGGGGAACUUGAGUGCAGAAGAGGAGAGUGGAAUUCCACGUGUAGCGGUGAAAUGCGUAGAGAUGUGGAGGAACACCAGUGGCGAAAGGCGACUCUCUGGUCUGUACUG